GCUAAAGCUAUUAGCUGCUCUAAAAUAUAAAUAAUUAAUACAAAUCCUAAAAAUAUUCCUAAAUUUAAAACAUUCUUAUAUUCAGUAAAGGUGAUUAAAUUUUAAUUAAUUUGUAUAUAAAAAGUACUGUAAAGGAACAACAAUAUAAAUAAUAUUAUAGCAAAGAUUUAAACUUGUACCUUUUGUAUCAUGGCUUAACUAGAAUUAAAUUUUAAUAAAAAUUUCUAGAAAACUAAUGAGCGAUCUUAUUUUCCCUAUUAGAGGUAAUAAAUAAAUGUAGCAAAAUUUUUUUAAAAAAUUAAGAUAGAAAUGACAUUUUAUUCGCAUUAGUUGAUAGCUAGUUUUUCUCAAAAGGCAUAGAAGUGCUCUUGAUUUUUUUGUAGUAAAAUAAAAUAAAAUUAUACUAAAAAUAAAUCAAAUUAAGUUUCUGAGGAUCAGCUCGGAGACUACUAAAUCAAUACAUUAAUCUAAUUUUAAAUAUAGGCUUGAAAAUAGCUCUUAUACUAGAAUUUGUUACAAUUCAUUAAUAAUUUAAAGAUAAAAUCAAUUUGUUUUAUAAAAGAGAAAAAUCUUUAUAAACUACAAUUAAAAUAUUUUUAUGUUAAGAUGAGUAUUCUAUACACUAAUAAUUCUUAUAUUGAAAUAAUUAAGAAAAAUAUCUAAAUUAAAUAAAUUAAAUUUCUAAAAGGAACUCGGCAAACAAUUGCUCUGCCUGUUUAUCAAAAACAUGGCUCUAUGUUAUAAAAAUAUAUAGAGUCGGACCUGCCCAGUGAUAUAUUUCAACGGCCGCAGUACUCUGACUGUGCAAAGGUAGCAUAAUAAUUUGCCCUAUAAUUGAGGGCUAGUAUGAAUGGUUUGACAAGAGCAAUACUGUCUCUCAGAAAAUAAUUAGAACUUGAUUUUUAGGUGAAGAAGCCUAAAUAUAAUUGAUAGACAAGAAGACCCUAUCGAGCUUUAAAAGAAUAUAUAGAAUAACAUGAUUAUAAAUAAUACAUGCUACUAUAUCUUAUUUUGGUUGGGGCAACUGUGGAACAAACAAAGCUUCCAAAAAAUAUCCAGACCUUCAAGUUAAGAUCCAAUUUUUUUGAUCUAAGGAAUUAGUUACCGUAGGGAUAACAGCAUUAUCUUUUUUGAGAGCUCAUAUUGAAAAAAAGGUUUGUGACCUCGAUGUUGGAUUAGAAUUUCCCAAAGAUGCAGAAGUCUUUAAAGGUUGGUCUGUUCGACCAUUAAAAUUCUACAUGAUCUGAGUUCAGACCGGCGUGAGCCAGGUCAGUUUCUAUCUUCAAUUAACUUAUUUAGAUUCAGUACGAAAGGAUCAAUCUAAAAUAAAAUUUAUAUUUAAAGAUAACAUAUAAUAAAAGAAAUUAAUAUUGUCAAAUUAGCAAAAUCAAUGCAAU
rnacentral:rRNA from 1 species